rnacentral:tRNA from 1 species
UAGCUCACUUGGUUAGAGCGUGGUGCUGAUAACACCAAGGUCGCAGGUUCGAUCCCUCU